rnacentral:rRNA from 1 species
AAAAAAAAACCUAAGAAGCUGCCUAGUAGUUGAGGAUAACGUCCGGAACCUGGCGCUAAUACCUCAUACGUCCUAAGGUAAAAAGUGUGGGAUCUUCGUACCUCACGCUAUCAGAUGAGCCUAGGUCGUAUUAGCUAGUUGGUGGGGUAAAGGCCUACCCAGGCGACGUCCAGUAACUGGUCUGAGAGGAGGAUCAGUCAAACUGGAACUGAGAAAAGGUACAGAAUCUGAAGGGAGGCAGAAGUGGGGAAUAUUGGAAAAGGGGAGAAUGCAUGAUCAAGACAUGCCGCGUGUGUGAAGAAGGUCUUUUUAUUUU